UAGGGAAUAUUGCGCAAUGGAGGAAACUCUGACGCAGCGACGCCGCGUGGGUGAUGAAGGAUUUCGGUUCGUAAAGCCCUGUCGGAAGGGAAGAAAAAUACUAUGGCUAACAUCCAUAGUACUUGACGGUACCUUUAAAGGAAGCACCGGCUAACUACGUGCCAGCAGCCGCGGUAAUACGUAGGGUGCUAGCGUUGUUCGGAAUCAUUGGGCGUAAAGCGCGUGUAGGUGGUUAUGUAAGUCGAAUGUGAAAUCCCUGGGCUCAACCGAGGAAGUGCAUUCGAAACUGCAUAGCUAGAGGACGGUAGAGGAAGGUGGAAUUCCAAGUGUAGAGGUGAAAUUCGUAGAUAUUUGGAGGAAUACCGGUGGCGAAGGCGGCCUUCUGGGCCGGCCCUGACACUGAGACGCGAAAGCGUGGGUAGCAAACAGG
rnacentral:rRNA from 1 species